rnacentral:lncRNA from 1 species
AGAGAACAACUACUGCAAACUCUCGCACGUCCCGCCCGAUGUUGCCUCGCUCUUCACUUCCAAACUCCGCAAGCUCGCCUCGUCCGCCGCGACUAAUAACUGAAAAUUGCACACACAAGUGCCACCCCCAAAAGGAGGGGGCAUGCCUGACCCGGGAAAGAGGAGGGGGCUGCUUCUAUCUAGGAAUCCUCUAGAAAACCCCAAUGACAAAAUCUCUCAACUUUGCCCUUCCUCACCCGAAAUUUUCACUUUUUCAGAAAAUCUUUCCAUCUCCGGUUCCUCUUUUGCUUUGCUUUCGUCAUAGCUUCACCAAAAUGGUGAAAUGGUCAGCCAUGGAGAUUUCCUCUCAAACGGAUCUUUUGGAGUCUAAAGCAAUCCGUAAAUCCCCUUUAUGUUUGAUUUCAAAUUUUAAAUCCCAAAGUUUCAGCCUCCUCCUAAAACCUUAAGCUCAGAGCCGCCCCUUUACCCCCCUAAACCAAGCUUCAGCCGCCACUUCUAACCCUCAAACCAACUGCUCUUUGCUUGCUUUUUACUGCUUAAGAAUAUUUUCUAAAAGUCUUAUUUUUUCUCCUUUGGUACUUUUCAAUUUUUUUUGGUUUUUCUUUAACUAAUACAGAGCUGCUACUUUUCAUUUAUUCUUUUGUUUAUGUUCAAGGAGUAAAGUCGAGGUCGAAAUUCUGAUAGAGGAUCGAAGACCCCAGUCCGCUGCCCUAAAAUAGGUCAGUGAUAUUUUUUCUUUCUUUCUUUUCUCUUUCGAUUCUGAAGUUCAAGACAAAUUCAUGUUUUAGUACGUUUGAUAAUCUACUGUGAGUUUUUCCCUUUUAAUUUUCUCUUUAUGCUUCAGAUAUCUUAAAAAUAAAUAUUCGGCACAUGUUUGGUAGAUCAUUAUGUUAAGAUGAUAUUCUGUGAUUCCUGGAUUUUAUUAAAAGUUAUAUGCUAAGCGUUUUCUUUAUCUACAUAUAUGUUGUCUACGUCAUGUUCAGGACUCAUUUUCGUUUAGAAAAUCAUGUUUACUGAAAGUUUUGUUCUGCUCAUAGGCUAGUCAAAUGACUUGUUUAUAGAUACCAUACUACAACAACAACCCGUAUAAUCCCACUUAAUAAGGUCUAAAAGGGUAGUGUGUAUGCAGACCUUACCCAUACCCUUGGGUAGAGAGGCUGUUUCCAAAUAGACUCCGGCAUCCUUCCGUUCAAGAACUUCCCAUCUUGCUCUUGGGGAGACUCGAACUCACAACCUCUCGAUUAGAAGUGGGGAGACUCGAACUCACAACCUCUCGAUUAGAAGUGGGGGUUGCUUACCAUCAGAGCAACCCUUCUUCUCUAUAGAUACCAUAUUACAUGUCCCAAUAUUUAGCAAAGAGUUUUUAAGAGACCAUUCUUUUGACAGAGUUCAUGUCCAAUUACCACAAGUAUGCGAAAUCCUUUAUGCCAAAAUACUGUUUUGUUUUUCGUCUUUUAAAGAGUAUGAUAAUUUCGUGAUAAUCUAAAUAUUAUACGUAGGUUUUCUUUGAAUAAUAAUAGAUUUCAAAAACAGUAGAUCAUUGGCUUCGAAUAAUAUAAAAUGCUCUGUAGUUUAUUAUUCGGAUUCAUUGAACCGUAGAGAAGUGUGCCUAUAGUUUUGAACUAAUUAGUAACUCAUUCUUUGAUCUUGAACUAUGGAAAUAGUCUAAUAUUUAUCACUAAGUGCUGAAUGGAUAUUGUUGGGUUGUUAACAUAUUAUUAGUUUGUAUCUUUCAUCGUAAUCACGACUACAAAACGAGUUGCUGUCCUAUUUGAUAACUUUGUUGUUUUAACAUGAAUAUGCAUCUGAUAUUUAGCAUAGCACAUCAAAAAUUCUAUCUUUAGGAAGACAACCCAUAUUUGUCGUUGGUUUAUCUGCUGGCCGUCCACUAGUACGGCAAGUUGUCUAGGCAUAGCAUGUUCCAAAUUCACAUGUUGCUAAGUGCUAAACUUAAAGUAGCGAGAAAAAGAUUGGAGACAAUUGUGGACUAUAAUAGGGAUGUAUUUUGGGAGUUUGUAUUGAAAAGAGAUAGGCAAUUUGUUGAAUCCGAGGAACCUAAAUGGAUAUACAUUCAUAAAAGUCAGUCACCUGUUAAAUGUAUUCUUGGCGAAAUGUUUUAUUUUUCUUUGGCUAUUACUCUUUCUCGUUUUGCUAACUCUUGGAAUCUGGAUCAAACCCACCAUGUGUGUUAAGGCUCAAAUUGAAUGGUCAUUCCAAACUAAUAUGGCAUACGAGAAAGUGCUUAGAUACAAAAAAUCAGAAGCUCCCAAAAGUUGAGAGAGAUCUCAUAAGAUAAUAGUCAUAAAUUGGGAAAAUGACUUAAGGGACAGUGGCAUAAGAUUAUCCUCAACUUAAGGCGCACCUACUCUUACUAGAAGUCUAGUGUCUCUCAGGUCCAGUUUCGAUCUCUUUGUGCUCGUGUUGCAUAUUAUUUGGAAUCUUUGUGUGAAAUUUGUGCCUACUAUGGGAAAAUAUGUGAGACAAUUAGGAUUUCUGAGUUAUGCGCAUGUGAUAUAUAUGUACGAUGGAUCGUCCGGCGUGAUUCUUUACUUUAAAGUGUGAGCAUUCUAUUUUAGUAUGUUGAUUAAACUCUUAAAGUUAUUUUUCUAAUUCUUGUUUUAUUCUCUCUUUCGCAUAUGCGCCAUUAGCAAAAUGGAGUCUCACCGAAGCUCAACAUCACCCCAGCGUGGAGUUAUCGCACCCCGUAUCAUCUUUUUUUAGAAUGUAUCAAAUAGCAAGAAAACGAGCGAAACGCUUGGGAUGCCUAUCACAUUCUUAUUCUUCAUCUAUUAUGUGUUCUAUUUUAUUGCUAUGAUUGCUAACUAACUUGUGUUUUGGAAUUUAUCUCAAGUGUGGGUUCAUGUUUAAUGUAAAUUUAAUAAUGGAAUCAUUUAAUCAUCAAGAUUUUGCCUCUAGGUAGCAAUACAGGUACCUAUUAUAAAGAUUUUUAUAUUUGUUGUUUAACUAGUGCUAUCACUUUUAUAUGAUCUCGUAAGCAUCCGUUCUUUAAUCCCCAAACCCAACUGAUUCCUUAGUUUACAUUUUUUUGGUUUAUGUUUUUUUUUACAUGUUUGAAUAUUUAAAUCUUUAAUGAUAGUGUAUACUAAGUUUU